rnacentral:rRNA from 1 species
GACGAACGCUGGCGGCGUGCCUAAUACAUGCAAGUCGAGCGGUCCCUUCGGGGAUAGCGGCGGACGGGUGAGUAACACGUAGGCAACCUGCCUGUAAGACCGGAAUAACUAUCGGAAACGAUAGCUAAGACCGGAUAGCUGGUUUUCUCGCAUGAGAGAAUCCUGAAACACGGGGCAACCUGUGGCUUACAGAUGGGCCUGCGGCGCAUUAGCUAGUUGGUAGGGUAACGGCCUACCAAGGCGACGAUGCGUAGCCGACCUGAGAGGGUGACCGGCCACACUGGGACUGAGACACGGCCCAGACUCCUACGGGAGGCGGCAGUAGGGAAUCUUCCGCAAUGGACGCAAGUCUGACGGAGCAACGCCGCGUGAGUGGUGAAGGUCUUCGGAUCGUAAAGCUCUGUUGCCCUAGACGAACAGCAAGGAGAGUAACUGCUCUUUGUGUGACGGUAUAGGAGAAGAAAGCCCCGGCUAACUACGUGCCAGCAGCCGCCGUAA